rnacentral:rRNA from 1 species
UCCCUACGGGGCGCAGCAGUGGGGAAUAUUGGGCAAUGGGCGCGAGCCUGACCCAGCAACGCCGCGUGAAGGAAGAAGGCUUUCGGGUUGUAAACUUCUUUUCUCAGGGACGAAGCAAGUGACGGUACCUGAGGAAUAAGCCACGGCUAACUACGUGCCAGCAGCCGCGGUAAUACGUAGGUGGCAAGCGUUAUCCGGAUUUACUGGGUGUAAAGGGCGCGUAGGCGGGAAAGCAAGUCUGGUGUGAAAACCACGGGCUCAACCUGUGGCCUGCGUUUGAAACUGUUUUUCUUGAGUGCUGGAGG